rnacentral:rRNA from 1 species
UACGGGGGGGGCAAGCGUUGUUCGGAAUUACUGGGCGUAAAGGGCUCGUAGGUGGCCAACUAAGUCAGACGUGAAAUCCCUCGGCUUAACCGGGGAACUGCAUCUGAUACUGCAAGACUUGAGAUCGGGAGAGGGAAGCGGAAUUCCGGGUGUAGCGGUGAAAUGCGUAGAUAUCCGGAGGAACACCGGUGGCGAAGGCGGCUUCCUGGACCGAAACUGACGCUGAGGCGCGAAAGCUAGGGGAGCAAACGGG